UAGGGAGACUCCAUCUGUACAAAAAAUUUAAAGAGAAAAUUAUUUCAAAAUACGAGGUUCAAAAAUAUUUCAUUUUUCGGGAGGCUAAGGCAGGAAACACUUGAACCCAGGAGGUGGAGAGAAAGCUCUGAUUAGUGGUAGCCAGUUAAAAGCUGUCAUUACUAACGUUUUCUACCAAAUCAAAUUUUCCCAGGUAGAAUUUUGCAUGUCUAAACUUUGUCAAGAAUAUUUUAUUCUUCCCACAAUUUUUAGUCAACAAUAGGCUUUACCAUGUACCGUUUUAGCAGCUGUCAGUUUUAUUUUCUGUUAAUCAUUAUACCAACCUGGCCAACAUAGUGAAACCCCGUCUCUACUAAAAGUACGAAAAUCAG
rnacentral:lncRNA from 10 species